CAGUAUCGCAUAGGAAGUUGUCGCGAGUGCUUGCUUGGUGGAGCUUGGUCGAAUAGCUAAAGUAGAAUGCAAAAGGCAAACGUUUGCCGCAACCAACGCACAAAUCACUCGCCCGCAAUACCAAUACAAUUUCGAUAAGAAAAAAAUACAUAGUUUUCGCUACCGCAGAGCCAACUACAAAUAAACAAACAACAACCGUAUUAUAUUUUAGAUGAAGAAUGGACUGUGUACAAUCAGCAUAUGAUCCAUAACUUGCUGAAAAGUGAAGCUAACUUGUUACGAGUAUCUAAUAAAGACUUGAAAUGUGAAAAGUAAAUUCUGCCGAUCCUUUGCACCAUUGUUUCUGAGUAAUUGCCAUAGUUGUGGAAGUAAUAUUUGUUGCCAAUAGCUUCUACGAAUACACAAUACAGUGAUCCACAGACACAGUGUUUGCCUAUUAACUUUGCAAGUAAUGCAGACAAGCGAACUCAAACUGAAGUGAUUUCUGAUUUCUGAAUAUGAAUUUAACAUUAUUAUUGUUGUAAGUGCAAGAAAUAUAGCAGUGUGCGAUAUAUACUACAUACCUACAUACACAUGUACAUAAUUCUUACAAGAGGUAUAGCUCCUCCGACGGGUAUUCGAACUUGUAGUUUAUAGCGAGCACUCGGCGGUGUUUGAAGGUGGUUCAUUGGAAUAUUUAUGAUAUGAACUAGUUGAUAUGAGUGGUAGAAUAAAAAUAAAGUGAUUGAAGUGCAUAAAGUGAAAUCUAAAUCAAAUGCUUAAUAAUAUUUAAUCGUGCAAUUAAAUUCGUGCUGCAGUAAGCAUCUUGGCAAGCUACUUGAACCAGGAUGUGGUAUUAGUUUGACUAAAACAAGUCCAGUAGAGUCGUGCGCGCUGCCUUAAUAAUUACAUAUUCGUGGCUAUGUAUGUGCAUAUAUACACAUGUAUCGAUUAGACUACGACGAGCGUUGUAGUAGUGCGCAGUUUAGUAAUCUAUCGUUGUGCAGUCGGAAUUGGAUUGAGUUACUCGCGUUGCCGUCAAUAUAGUAAUCUACGCCUAUCCAUGUUAAUAUACAGCGUUGGAAUUGAAAGCGACGCAAGAUCUUACCUUGUUGCCUGAGAUAAUGCAUGCGAGAGCUUCCCUAUGCUCUUGAGGAAGGUGUCAGUGUCUCUUAGUCAUAGCCAUAGUUAUAUCCUUAGACAUAGUGUUUGUAGUUAACCGCCAACUAGACGUGCAUACCUCAACAGGGCUAAUUGGAAAAAAGCCGAUAAAUUCAUCGUGUCAACGCGAUUAACGGAAUUCUUAGAUACCAAAAAGGCGAGCGGCGUUAUACCAAAAAUGGAUAUGAAAAUGGAGUUAGUGAGUCAGUCGCAAGAUAUGAGUACCGGUUCACCGUCAGAGGUGCCAAAUGAUCCAGGGAAAAUGUUUAUCGGCGGAUUAAGUUGGCAAACCAGCCCAGAAAGCUUACGAGACUACUUCAGCAGGUUUGGUGAUAUAUCAGAGGCUAUGGUCAUGAAAGAUCCAACGACGCGGAGAUCGAGGGGUUUCGGCUUCAUAACAUUCAGUGAUCCAGCCAGCGUAGACAAGGUUCUCACACAAGGUACUCACGAACUAGACGGUAAAAAGAUCGACCCAAAGGUAGCUUUUCCCCGCAGAGCACAUCCUAAAAUGGUGACGCGAACGAAGAAAAUUUUUGUGGGUGGGCUGUCCGCGCCCACAACACUGGAGGAUGUCAAAAGCUACUUCGAGCAAUAUGGACCGAUUGAGGACGCUAUGCUCAUGUUCGAUAAGCAGACCAAUCGGCACCGAGGUUUUGGCUUCGUUACAUUUCAGAGUGAGGAUGUGGUAGAUAAAGUUUGUGAAAUUCAUUUCCAUGAGAUCAACAACAAAAUGGUCGAAUGCAAGAAGGCGCAACCCAAAGAAGUCAUGCUGCCGGCCAACUUGGCCAAGACACGCGCUGCCGGUCGCUCUGCAUACGAUAACAUCAUGUGGGGACUGGGGACACUACCCGACGGAUUUCCGGCAGCCGCCUAUGCAGCCUAUGCAGCUGGACGUGGUUAUUCGGGAUAUCCAAGCUUCGGUUUGCCUUACCCUGCUGUGGAUCUAACUAAUGGACAACUAACGCCGAACAACAACACUCCUCUUCUCACUCAGGCUCUUUCAGUGAUGAACAACUAUCAAGCUGCCGCUGCAGCAGCCCAUAGCUUUGGACCUUCUGCUUCGCCACACACUGCGACCACGCGACAAGGCUUCCCUUCGACUAACUCUCCUGGGCCCACCAUUGACAUGUACAGCUCAACUGGCGCUGACAACGUCGGCUACGUACAGGCAACAAGCCCACAACCUUCUGGAUUUCCUAUAGCUGUGAGUCGGGCACCAUUAAACUAUAGCCCGAUAUAUUCGUUGAACUUUGCGAUGGCUAACAUAUAAAAUGAAUAAGACUGAUUAACCAACAAAACAUAGAAAGAAAUAUAAGCAGUUGCACAAGGGACCACUGAUUCCUGCGGCCUUUACAAAUGGUUACCAUUAAAGCAUUGGCGUUGAAUUGCAACAUUUAAUACAACAGCAACCGCAACAACAACGUAUGAAAACCGCAGCUAACAGUUAAAACAACUAACAACCGUUAACGGGAUACAGCUUGGAUUAGAGGACACAGGAAAAGGUGGAAAAGUUACCAAAAACCAACACAAUUAAAUUAAUCUAUAACCAAUACACCAAAAACGAACAUACAUGCAUACAUAUACAUACAUACAUACAUACAUAUACAAAUAUACAUACUAAUAUUAAUAAUAAAUGAAGUUUAUAAAAAUGCAUAAGUGGAGAGCAAGCAAGCAUACAGAAAUAAAUUAAUAUUUAUUUAUAUACAUACACAUAUGUGCACAUGUACAUACAUGCAUAU
rnacentral:misc_RNA from 1 species